AUUGAACGCAGGCGGCAUGCCUUACACAUGCAAGUCGAACGGCAGCAUGGAGAGCUUGCUCUCUGAUGGCGAGUGGCGAACGGGUGAGUAAUGCAUCGGAACGUACCGUGUAAUGGGGGAUAACGUAGCGAAAGUUACGCUAAUACCGCAUACGACCUGAGGGUGAAAGCAGGGGAUCGCAAGACCUUGCGUUAUACGAGCGGCCGAUGUCAGAUUAGCUAGUUGGGGAGGUAAAGGCUCACCAAGGCGACGAUCUGUAGCGGGUCUGAGAGGAUGAUCCGCCACACUGGGACGGAGACACGGCCCAGACUCCUACGGGAGGCAGCAGUGGGGAAUUUUGGACAAUGGGGGCAACCCUGAUCCAGCCAUGCCGCGUGAGUGAAGAAGGCCUUCGGGUUGUAAAGCUCUUUCGGCCGGGAAGAAAUCGCACAGGCUAAUACUCUGUGUGGAUGACGGUACCGGCAUAAGAAGCACCGGCUAACUACGUGCCAGCCGCCGCGGUAA
rnacentral:rRNA from 1 species